CGCAGCCCAGAGCCCACAUCAGCCGGUGUUAAGGACGGAUAAUCCAGUGUCUGUGAAUCGUCCAGUUUUUCGUCAUCCUGGUGUCAUCCUUGCCUGUACUUCAGCCAGUGACUCUGACAUAACAGGGAUUCAUCACGACCAUCGCUGUUAAGAUGUCAACAGGCAGGAUCCCGUUGCCAGCAGACUAGUGACAGACGACACUGGAGAGGAGAGACUUUUAUUAUGUUGGCUUCCGGAUACGUCGACUGUGGCAAGCGGGAAGUGUGGUUCUGUGAGGCGAGGAAGGGAAGAGCUGGAGGGGAAUUUAUUUAUGAGAAGUGGAUAUGUAGACUGUGGUAUGUAAAACAUACUGUAGGUUCUGUGGGCUUGAGAUGAGAGAGGGAGAGGGAGAGAGGGUCAGGUGGACGGAAGAAGGAAAGGAAAAAGAAGAUGGACGGAAGAAGGAAAGGAAAAAGAAGAGAGAAGAAGAAGUAGGAUUAAGGAGGA